GCAGAACUCAUCCUAGUAGCCGAGGCAGCCAGAUGGUUGAGGAGAAGUUGUAAUCCAUCCGGAGCUUUCCGCCAAACUGAUCCUUGAAUAAAUGGAAAUUCUGUUUGAGGUCGAAGGUCCGAGUCACCUUCAUACGACCAUCUGCUGAACAGGAAGGGGUUUGAUAUCCCUGUAUGUAAAUAAGCUAAUUUACCUGAGUGUAAAAAUGUUGAAGCAUGACGGAGCAUCUGCAGAAACCCCGAAGAAAUCGCUGCCGGCAAAUGUUUUCCGUCAUUUUCCAGAGUGUUAUUUGCUUUUUACCUCGACCCUUAAGGAGAGGCCGCUCACACCACAAUCUGUCUGAUAACUACCAUCUGUCAUCGAGCGCAUCU